rnacentral:rRNA from 1 species
CACGUAGGGCGCAAGCGUUGUCCGGAAUUAUUGGGCGUAAAGGGUGCGUAGGCGGCGCGGUAAGUCGGGUGUGAAAUCUUGGAGCUUAACUCCGAAACUGCAUUCGAUACUGCCGUGCUUGAGGACUGGAGAGGAGACUGGAAUUUACGGUGUAGCAGUGAAAUGCGUAGAGAUCGUAAGGAAGACCAGUGGCGAAGGCGGGUCUCUGGACAGUUCCUGACACUGAGGCACGAAGGCCAGGGGAGCAAACGGG